rnacentral:rRNA from 1 species
UACGUAGGGGGGCUAGCGUUGUCCGGAAUCAUUGGGCGUAAAGCGCGUGUAGGCGGUUCGGUAAGUCCGCUGUGAAAGUCGGGGGGCUCAACCCUCGGAUGCCGGUGGAUACUGUCGAGCUUGAGUACGGAAGAGGCGAGUGGAAUUCCUGGUGUAGCGGUGAAAUGCGCAGAUAUCAGGAGGAACACCAAUUGCGAAGGCAGCUCGCUGGGACGUUACUGACGCUGAGACGCGAAAGCGUGGGAGGAAACAGG